CGGUGCCCGGCUCAACUGGGCCCCGUCGGGUGCCGCAGUAAACCAUCGCGUGGCCUCGUUAAGGGACUAGAGCAGUCCAGCCCGUCCUUUAGGAGGUCUUGGCUGCUGCGGCUGAGAUAGGAGGGCUCGAACACGGAAGCCGUCGGUGGGCGCGGAGGCCGGUUCUCGAAGAGGGGGGCGGCCGCUGCAGUGGGGGAGAGAGGACGGUCCUAGGAGACGGGCCACUACCGCGGCCGGGUCUCCAACCCAAAAUGAAGGCCGCUCUAGCUGAUGGGGAGCGUCGAGUAAAGAGGAGUCCACUUGUCGUUACUCGAUCGCCAGUGGAAGGAGCAGGAGGCUCGGUCGAUUAGUCUUAGAACCUUGAGAGGAUGGUAAUAGUUCAAUUGCUUCAAUCUAAUAACCGACGUAUGUAAUAUUAAAUCCACGUUAAGUCUUCUUACACCGUUUACGUCACCUAAACGACGUAAAUUAAUGACUACUCCCAGUGAUAUAUGUAGACGUCUAACCGUAAAUAGUAAGUCUAAAAGUUGAAUGUAAAAGUUCCCUAUGCUGAUGAGAAGCCCGCACACCGUUAAUACGUCCACAAACCGCCGCCGCUCUGCCGGUGGUGCAACUACGACGUGCAGAUGCUACCGCGCGACUUCAUGAUGUUGGUCUUCGGGCAGCUCCUGUUGUAGAUGCUGGCCACCGAGGCCCACUUGCACUAGGUACUACAGCCGCGCAGCUCUGAGUGGCACAAGCAGCUACCGCUUUUAUUUGACUCGCAGCGGCCGGCGCCGCCGUCGAGCGUGAUGAAGUUCAAGCCGCAGAUGUGCGUUUCCCUGCGCAGGUCGGCGUACCUCAGCGCGACCUUCUUACAGUCCUAAGAGUUCUUUUUGACUAUGGGUGUCGUCGAAUAGACAAACAAAGGGGCAGCACAUAGGAAACAUGACCAACAAAGUUCAGGCUCGCGCACAUGAGUGUGCUAGCAGUAGGAAGUUGUUUUUAAGUUAUUUCGAUUUUUAGACUGUUGUCUAAAAAAUCUCACAGUCUAACUUGCGUGAAACACGGCAACCUAUAAUACGUAUUUAGAAGUCACAUUAACCUCGUGUGAGUACCUCCCACAGAACCG
rnacentral:rRNA from 1 species